CCUACGGGAGGCAGCAGUGGGGAAUAUUGCGCAAUGGGCGAAAGCCUGACGCAGCGACGCCGCGUGAGGGAUGAAGGUCUUCGGAUCGUAAACCUCUGUCAGCAGGGAAGAACGGUCACUGUGCUAAUCAGCAGUGAAUUGACGGUACCUGCAAAGGAAGCACCGGCUAACUCCGUGCCAGCAGCCGCGGUAAUACGGAGGGUGCGAGCGUUAAUCGGAAUUACUGGGCGUAAAGCGCUCGUAGUCGGUAUGUCAAGUCAAGGGUGAAAUCCCCGCGCUCAACGUGGGAACUGCCUUUGAAACUGGCAAACUGGAGUGUGUGAGAGGAUAGUGGAAUUCCAGGUGUAGGAGUGAAAUGCGUAGAUAUCUGGAGGAACAUCAGUGGCGAAGGCGACUAUCUGGCACAUAACUGACGCUGAGGAGCGAAAGCGUGGGUAGCAAACAGGAUUAGAUACCCCAGUAGUC
rnacentral:rRNA from 1 species